rnacentral:rRNA from 1 species
UACGGGGGGAGCAAGCGUUGUUCGGAUUUACUGGGCGUAAAGGGCGCGUAGGCGGCGCAACAAGUCACUUGUGAAAUCUCCGGGCUUAACCCGGAGCGGUCAAGUGGUACUGUCGUGCUAGAGUGCGGAAGGGGCUACUGGAAUUCUCGGUGUAGCGGUGAAAUGCGUAGAUAUCGAGAGGAACACCUGCGGCGAAGGCGGGUAGCUGGGCCGACACUGACGCUGAUGCGCGAAAGCCAGGGGAGCGAACGGG